rnacentral:lncRNA from 1 species
AGUGCUCCAGGCCUGCUUGGUGUGGACAUGGUGGUGAGCCGUGGCAAGGACCAGAAUGGAUCACAGAUGAUCGUUGGCCAACAGGUGGCAGAAGAGGAAUUCCUGCCUUCCUCAAGAGGAACACCUACCCCUUGGCUAAUGCUGGGGUCGGAUUUUGAUUUAUAUUUAUCUUUUGGAUGUCAGUCAUACAGUCUGAUUUUGUGGUUUGCUAGUGUUUGAAUUUAAGUCUUAAGUGACUAUUAUAGAAAUGUAUUAAGAGGCUUUAUUUGUAGAAUUCACUUUAAUUACAUUUAAUGAGUUUUUGUUUUGAGUUCCUUAAAAUUCCUUAAAGUUUUUAGCUUCUCAUUACAAAUUCCUUAACCUUUUUUUGGCAGUAGAUAGUCAAAGUCAAAUCAUUUCUAAUGUUUUAAAAAUGUGCUGGUCAUUUUCUUUGAAAUUGACUUAACUAUUUUCCUUUGAAGAGUCUGUAGCACAGAAACAGUAAAAAAUUUAACUUCAUGACCUAAUGUAAAAAAGAGUGUUUGAAGGUUUACACAGGUCCAGGCCUUGCUUUGUUCCCAUCCUUGAUGCUGCACUAAUUGACUAAUCACCUACUUAUCAGACAGGAAACUUGAAUUGCUGUGGUCUGGUGUCCUCUAUUCAGACUUAUUAUAUUGGAGUAUUUCAAUUUUUCGUUGUAUCCUGCCUGCCUAGCAUCCAGUUCCUCCCCAGCCCUGCUCCCAGCAAACCCCUAGUCUAGCCCCAGCCCUACUCCCACCCCGCCCCAGCCCUGCCCCAGCCCCAGUCCCCUAACCCCCCAGCCCUAGCCCCAGUCCCAGUCCUAGUUCCUCAGUCCCGCCCAGCUUCUCUCGAAAGUCACUCUAAUUUUCAUUGAUUCAGUGCUCAAAAUAAGUUGUCCAUUGCUUAUCCUAUUAUACUGGGAUAUUCCGUUUACCCUUGGCAUUGCUGAUCUUCAGUACUGACUCCUUGACCAUUUUCAGUUAAUGCAUACAAUCCCAUUUGUCUGUGAUCUCAGGACAAAGAAUUUCCUUACUCGGUACGUUGAAGUUAGGGAAUGUCAAUUGAGAGCUUUCUAUCAGAGCAUUAUUGCCCACAAUUUGAGUUACUUAUCAUUUUCUCGAUCCCCUGCCCUUAAAGGAGAAACCAUUUCUCUGUCAUUGCUUCUGUAGUCACAGUCCCAAUUUUGAGUAGUGAUCUUUUCUUGUGUACUGUGUUGGCCACCUAAAACUCUUUGCAUUGAGUAAAAUUCUAAUUGCCAAUAAUCCUACCCAUUGGAUUAGACAGCACUCUGAACCCCAUUUGCAUUCAGCAGGGGGUCGCAGACAACCCGUCUUUUGUUGGACAGUUAAAAUGCUCAGUCCCAAUUGUCAUAGCUUUGCCUAUUAAACAAAGGCACCCUACUGCGCUUUUUGCUGUGCUUCUGGAGAAUCCUGCUGUUCUUGGACAAUUAAAGAACAAAGUAGUAAUUGCUAAUUGUCUCACCCAUUAAUCAUGAAGACUACCAGUCGCCCUUGCAUUUGCCUUGAGGCAGCGCUGACUACCUGAGAUUUAAGAGUUUCUUAAAUUAUUGAGUAAAAUCCCAAUUAUCCAUAGUUCUGUUAGUUACACUAUGGCCUUUGCAAACAUCUUUGCAUAACAGCAGUGGGACUGACUCAUUCUUAGAGCCCCUUCCCUUGGAAUAUUAAUGGAUACAAUAGUAAUUAUUCAUGGUUCUGCGUAACAGAGAAGACCCACUUAUGUGUAUGCCUUUAUCAUUGCUCCUAGAUAGUGUGAACUACCUACCACCUUGCAUUAAUAUGUAAAACACUAAUUGCCCAUAGUCCCACUCAUUAGUCUAGGAUGUCCUCUUUGCCAUUGCUGCUGAGUUCUGACUACCCAAGUUUCCUUCUCUUAAACAGUUGAUAUGCAUAAUUGCAUAUAUUCAUGGUUCUGUGCAAUAAAAAUGGAUUCUCACCCCAUCCCACCUUCUGUGGGAUGUUGCUAACGAGUGCAGAUUAUUCAAUAACAGCUCUUGAACAGUUAAUUUGCACAGUUGCAAUUGUCCAGAGUCCUGUCCAUUAGAAAGGGACUCUGUAUCCUAUUUGCACGCUACAAUGUGGGCUGAUCACCCAAGGACUCUUCUUGUGCAUUGAUGUUCAUAAUUGUAUUUGUCCACGAUCUUGUGCACUAACCCUUCCACUCCCUUUGUAUUCCAGCAGGGGACCCUUACUACUCAAGACCUCUGUACUAGGACAGUUUAUGUGCACAAUCCUAAUUGAUUAGAACUGAGUCUUUUAUAUCAAGGUCCCUGCAUCAUCUUUGCUUUACAUCAAGAGGGUGCUGGUUACCUAAUGCCCCUCCUCCAGAAAUUAUUGAUGUGCAAAAUGCAAUUUCCCUAUCUGCUGUUAGUCUGGGGUCUCAUCCCCUCAUAUUCCUUUUGUCUUACAGCAGGGGGUACUUGGGACUGUUAAUGCGCAUAAUUGCAAUUAUGGUCUUUUCCAUUAAAUUAAGAUCCCAACUGCUCACACCCUCUUAGCAUUACAGUAGAGGGUGCUAAUCACAAGGACAUUUCUUUUGUACUGUUAAUGUGCUACUUGCAUUUGUCCCUCUUCCUGUGCACUAAAGACCCCACUCACUUCCCUAGUGUUCAGCAGUGGAUGACCUCUAGUCAAGACCUUUGCACUAGGAUAGUUAAUGUGAACCAUGGCAACUGAUCACAACAAUGUCUUUCAGAUCAGAUCCAUUUUAUCCUCCUUGUUUUACAGCAAGGGAUAUUAAUUACCUAUGUUACCUUUCCCUGGGACUAUGAAUGUGCAAAAUUCCAAUGUUCAUGGUCUCUCCCUUUAAACCUAUAUUCUACCCCUUUUACAUUAUAGAAAGGGAUGCUGGAAACCCAGAGUCCUUCUCUUGGGACUCUUAAUGUGUAUUUCUAAUUAUCCAUGACUCUUAAUGUGCAUAUUUUCAAUUGCCUAAUUGAUUUCAAUUGUCUAAGACAUUUCAAAUGUCUAAUUGAUUAGAACUGAGUCUUUUAUAUCAAGCUAAUAUCUAGCUUUUAUAUCAAGCUAAUAUCUUGACUUCUCAGCAUCAUAGAAGGGGGUACUGAUUUCCUAAAGUCUUUCUUGAAUUUCUAUUAUGCAAAAUUGCCCUGAGGCCGGGUGUGGUGGCUCACACCUGUAAUCCCAGCACUUUGGGAGGCUGAGGUGGGAAGAUCCCUUACUGCCAGGAGUUUGAGACCAGCCUGGCCAACAUUAAAAAAAAAAAAAAGUAAGACAAUUGCCCUGGAAUCCCAUCCCCCUCACACCUCCUUGGCAAAGCAGCAGGAGUGCUAACUAGCUAGUGCUUCUUCUCUUAUACUGCUUAAAUGCGCAUAAUUAGCAGUAGUUGAUGUGCCCCUAUGUUAGAGUAGAAUCCCGCUUCCUUGCUCCAUUUGCAUUACUGCAGGAGCUUCUAACUAGCCUGAAUUCACUCUCUUGGACUGUUAAUGUGCAUACUUAUAUUUGCUGCUGUACUUUUUUACCAUGUAAGGACCCCACCCACUGUAUUUACAUCCCAGCUGGAAGUACCUACUACUUAAGACCCUUAGACUAGUAAAGUUAGCGUGCAUAAUCUUAGGUGUUAUAUACACAUUUUCAGUUGCAUACAGUUGUGCCUUUUAUCAGGACUCCUGUACUUAUCAAAGCAGAGAGUGCUAAUCAAUAUUAAGCCCUUCUCUUCGAACUGUAGAUGGCAUGUAAUUGCAGUUGUCAAUGGUCCUUCAAUUAGACUUGGGUUUCUGACCUAUCACACCCUCUUUGCUUUAUUGCAUGGGGUACUAUUCACUUAAGGCCCCUUUCUCAAACUGUUAAUGUGCCUAAUGACAAUUACAUCAGUAUCCUUCCUUUUGAAGGACAGCAUGGUUGGUGACACCUAAGGCCCCAUUUCUUGGCCUCCCAAUAUGUGUGAUUGUAUUUGUCGAGGUUGCUAUGCACUAGAGAAGGAAAGUGCUCCCCUCAUCCCCACUUUUCCCUUCCAGCAGGAAGUGCCCACCCCAUAAGACCCUUUUAUUUGGAGAGUCUAGGUGCACAAUUGUAAGUGACCACAAGCAUGCAUCUUGGACAUUUAUGUGCGUAAUCGCACACUGCUCAUUCCAUGUGAAUAAGGUCCUACUCUCCGACCCCUUUUGCAAUACAGAAGGGUUGCUGAUAACGCAGUCCCCUUUUCUUGGCAUGUUGUGUGUGAUUAUAAUCGUCUGGGAUCCUAUGCACUAGAAAAGGAGGGUCCUCUCCACAUACCUCAGUCUCACCUUUCCCUUCCAGCAGGGAGUGCCCACUCCAUAAGACUCUCACAUUUGGACAGUCAAGGUGCGUAAUUGUUAAGUGAACACAACCAUGCACCUUAGACAUGGAUUUGCAUAACUACACACAGCUCAACCUAUCUGAAUAAAAUCCUACUCUCAGACCCCUUUUGCAGUACAGCAGGGGUGCUGAUCACCAAGGCCCUUUUUCCUGGCCUGGUAUGCGUGUGAUUAUGUUUGUCCCGGUUCCUGUGUAUUAGACAUGGAAGCCUCCCCUGCCACACUCCACCCCCAAUCUUCCUUUCCCUUCCGGCAGGGAGUGCCCUCUCCAUAAGACGCUUACGUUUGGACAAUCAAGGUGCACAGUUGUAAGUGACCACAGGCAUACACCUUGGACAUUAAUGUGCAUAACCACUUUGCCCAUUCCAUCUGAAUAAGGUCCUACUCUCAGACCCCUUUUGCAGUACAGCAGGGGUGCUGAUCACCAAGGCCCCUUUUCUUGGCCUGUUAUGUGCGUGAUUAUAUUUGUCUGGGUUCCUGUGUAUUAGACAAGGAAGCCUUCCCCCCGCCCCCACCCCCACUCCCAGUCUUCCUUUCCCUUCCAGCAGGGAGUGCCCCCUCCAUAAGAUCAUUACAUUUGGACAAUCAAGGUGCACAAUUAUAAGUGACCACAGCCAUGCACCUUGGACAUUAUUGGACAUUAAUGUGCGUAACUGCACAUGGCCCAUCCCAUCUGAAUAAGGUCCUACUCUCAGAUGCCCUUUGCAGUACAGCAGGGGUACUGAAUCACCAAGGCCCUUUUUCUUGGCCUGUUAUGUGUGUGAUUAUAUUUAUCCCAGUUUCUGUGUAAUAGACAUGAAAGCCUCCCCUGCCACACCCCACCUCCAAUCUUCCUUUCCCUUCCACCAGGGAGUGUCCACUCCAUAUACCCUUACAUUUGGACAAUCAAGGUGCACAAUUGUAAGUGAGCAUAGGCACUCACCUUGGACAUGAAUGUGCAUAACUGCACAUGGCCCAUCCCAUCUGAAUAAGGUCCUACUCUCAGACCCUUUUUGCAGUACAGCAGGGGUGCUGAUCACCAAGGCCCCUUUUCCUGGCCUGUUAUGUGUGUGAUUAUAUUUGUUCCAGUUCCUGUGUAAUAGACAUGGAAGCCUCCCCUGCCACACUCCACCCCCAAUCUUCCUUUCCCUUCUGGCAGGAAGUACCCGCUCCAUAAGACCCUUACAUUUGGACAGUCAAGGUGCACAAUUGUAUGUGACCACAACCAUGCACCUUGGACAUAAAUGUGUGUAACUGCACAUGGCCCAUCCCAUCUGAAUAAGGUCCUACUCUCAGACCCCUUUUGCAGUACAGUAGGUGUGCUGAUAACCAAGGCCCCUCUUCCUGGCCUGUUAACGUAUGUGAUUAUAUUUGUCUGGGUUCCAGUGUAUAAGACAUGGAAGCCUCCCCUGCCCCACCCCACCCUCAAUCUUCCUUUCCCUUCUGGCAGGGAGUGCCAGCUCCAUAAGAACCUUACAUUUGGACAGUCAAGGUGCACAAUUCUAAGUGACCGCAGCCAUGCACCUUGGUCAAUAAUGUGUGUAACUGCACACGGCCUAUCUCAUCUGAAUAAGGCCUUACUCUCAGACCCCUUUUGCAGUACAGCAGGGGUGCUGAUAACCAAGGCCCAUUUUCCUGGCCUGUUAUGUGUGUGAUUAUAUUUGUCCAGGUUUCUGUGUACUAGACAAGGAAGCCUCCUCUGCCCCAUCCCAUCUACGCAUAAUCUUUCUUUUCCUCCCAGCAGGGAGUGCUCACUCCAUAAGACCCUUACAUUUGGACAAUCAAGGUGCACAAUUGUAAGUGACCACAACCAUGCAUCUUGGAAAUUUAUGUGCAUAACUGCACAUGGCUUAUCCUAUUUGAAUAAAGUCCUACUCUCAGACCCCCUUUGCAGUAUAGCUGGGGUGCUGAUCACUGAGGCCUCUUUGCUUGGCUUGUCUAUAUUCUUGUGUACUAGAUAAGGGCACCUUCUCAUGGACUCCCUUUGCUUUUCAACAAGGAGUACCCACUACUUUUUAAGAUUCUUAUAUUUGUCCAAAGUACAUGGUUUUAAUUGACCACAACAAUGUCCCUUGGACAUUAAUGUAUGUAAUCACCACAUGGUUCAUCCUAAUUAAACAAAGUUCUACCUUCUCACCCUCCAUUUGCAGUAUACCAGGGUUGCUGACCCCCUAAGUCCCCUUUUCUUGGCUUGUUGACAUGCAUAAUUGCAUUUAUGUUGGUUCUUGUGCCCUAGACAAGGAUGCCCCACCUCUUUUCAAUAGUGGGUGCCCACUCCUUAUGAUCUUUACAUUUGAACAGUUAAUGUGAAUAAUUGCAGUUGUCCACAACCCUAUCACUUCUAGGACCAUUAUACCUCUUUUGCAUUACUGUGGGGUAUACUGUUUCCCUCCAAGGCCCCUUCUGGUGGACUAUCAACAUAUAAUUGAAAUUUUCUUUUGUCUUUGUCAGUAGAUUAAGGUCAUACCCCAUCACCUUUCCUUUGUAGUACAACAGGGUGUCCUGAUCAACCAAAGUCCUGUUGUUUUGGACUGUUAAUAUGUGCAAUUACAUUUGCUCCUGAUCUGUGCACUAGAUAAGGAUCCUACCUACUUUCUUAGUGUUUUUAGCAGGUAGUGCCCACUACUCAAGACUGUCACUUGGAAUGUUCAUGUGCACAAACUCAAUUCUCUAAGCAUGUUCCUGUACCACCUUUGCUUUAGAGCAGGGGGAUGAUAUUCACUAAGUGCCCCUUCUUUUGGACUUAAUAUGCAUUAAUGCAAUUGUCCACCUCUUCUUUUAGACUAAGAGUUGAUCUCCACAUAUUCCCCUUGCAUCAGGGGCAUGUUAAUUAUGAAUGAACCCUUUUCUUUUAAUAUUAAUGUCAUAAUUGUAUUUGUGGACCUGUGUAGGAGAAAAAGACCCUAUGUUCCUCCCAUUACCCUUUGGAUUGCUGCUGAGAAGUGUUAACUACUCAUAAUCUCAGCUCUUGGACAAUUAAUAGCAUUAAUAACAAUUAUCAAGGGCACUGAUCAUUAGAUAAGACUCCUGCUUCCUCGUUGCUUACAUCGGGGGUACUGACCCACUAAGGCCCCUUGUACUGUUAAUGUGAAUAUUUGCAAUUAUAUAUGUCUCCUUCUGGUAGAGUGGGAUAUUAUGCCCUAGUAUCCCCUUUGCAUUACUGCAGGGGCUGCUGACUACUCAAAACUUCUCCUGGGACUGUUAAUAGGCACAAUGGCAGUUAUCAAUGGUUUUCUCCCUCCCUGACCUUGUUAAGCAAGCGCCCCACCCCACCCUUAGUUUCCCAUGGCAUAAUAAAGUAUAAGCAUUGGAGUAUUCCAUGCACUUGUCUAUCAAACAGUGGUCCAUACUCCCAACCCUUUUGCAUUGCGCCAGUGUGUAAAAUCACAGGUAGCCAUGGUGUCAUGCUUUAUAUACGAAGUCUUCCCUCUCUCUGCCCCUUGUGUGCCCUUGGCCCCUUUUUACAGACUAUUGCUCACAAUCUCAGGUGUCCAUAUUUGCAGCUAUUAGGUAAGAUUGUGCUGUCUCCCUCUUCCCUUCCCUCUGCCCUGCCCCUUUUGCCUCUUUGCUGGGUAAUGUUGACCAGACAAGGCCCUUUCUCUUGGACUUAAACAAUUCUCAGUUGCACUUUCCUUGGUCCCACCCAUUAUACAUGAACCCCUCUACUUCCUUUCGCAUUGCUUCUGAGUAUGCUGACUACCCAAAGCCCCUUCUGUGUUAUUAAUAAACACAGUACUGAUUGUCCCAUUUUUCAGCCCAUCAGUCCAAGAUCUCCCUACCACUUUGGUGUGUUGGUGCAGUGUUGACUAUGAAAAGCAGGCCUGAACUAGGAUGUCAAAAGAUCGGCCCAGCUCAGGGAGCAGUUUGCCCUACUAGCUCCUCGGACAGCUGUAAAGAAGAGUCUCUGGCUCUUUAGAAUACUGUAAGUACUACUUCGUAGCUAUUAAGUAAUCUUUUUCCUAUUCUAUUUUCUUUCUCUUAGAUGCCACCUAUAGAAAAGUCAGAGGGUCCAGAUCCCAUUGAAGAUACCACGCUGCAUGUGUCCUUAGUAGUCAUGUCUCCUUAGGCUCCUCUUGGACAUUCUGAGCAUGUGAGACCUGAGGACUGCAAACAGCUAUAAGAGGCUCCAAAUUAAUCAUAUCUUUCCCUUUGAGAAUCUGGCCAAGCUCCAGCUAAUCUACUUGGAUGGGUUGCCAGCUAUCUGGAGAAAAAGAUCUUCCUCAGAAGAAUAGGCUUGUUGUUUUACAGUGUUAGUGAUCCAUUCCCUUUGACGAUCCCUAGGUGGAGAUGGGGCAUGAGGAUCCUCCAGGGGAAAAGCUCACUACCACUGGGCAACAACCCUAGGUCAGGAGGUUCUGUCAAGAUACUUUCCUGGUCCCAGAUAGGAAGAUAAAGUCUCAAAAACAACCACCACACGUCAAGCUCUUCAUUGUUCCUAUCUGCCAAAUCAUUAUACUUCCUACAAGCAGUGCAGAGAGCUGAGUCUUCAGCAGGUCCAAGAAAUUUGAACACACUGAAGGAAGUCAGCCUUCCCACCUGAAGAUCAACAUGCCUGGCACUCUAGCACUUGAGGAUAGCUGAAUGAAUGUGUAUUUCUUUGUCUCUUUCUUUCUUGUCUUUGCUCUUUGUUCUCUAUCUAAAGUGUGUCUUACCCAUUUCCAUGUUUCUCUUGCUAAUUUCUUUCGUGUGUGCCUUUGCCUCAUUUUCUCUUUUUGUUCACAAGAGUGGUCUGUGUCUUGUCUUAGACAUAUCUCUCAUUUUUCAUUUUGUUGCUAUUUCUCUUUGCUCUCCUAGAUGUGGCUCUUCUUUCACGCUUUAUUUCAUGUCUCCUUUUUGGGUCACAUGCUGUGUGCUUUUUGUCCUUUUCUUGUUCUGUCUACCUCUCCUUUCUCUGCCUACCUCUCUUUUCUCUUUGUGAACUGUGAUUAUUUGUUACCCCUUCCCCUUCUCGUUCGUUUUAAAUUUCACCUUUUUUCUGAGUCUGGCCUCCUUUCUGCUGUUUCUACUUUUUAUCUCACAUUUCUCAUUUCUGCAUUUCCUUUCUGCCUCUCUUGGGCUAUUCUCUCUCUCCUCCCCUGCGUGCCUCAGCAUCUCUUGCUGUUUGUGAUUUUCUAUUUCAGUAUUAAUCUCUGUUGGCUUGUAUUUGUUCUCUGCUUCUUCCCUUUCUACUCACCUUUGAGUAUUUCAGCCUCUUCAUGAAUCUAUCUCCCUCUCUUUGAUUUCAUGUAAUCUCUCCUUAAAUAUUUCUUUGCAUAUGUGGGCAAGUGUACGUGUGUGUGUGUCAUGUGUGGCAGAGGGGCUUCCUAACCCCUGCCUGAUAGGUGCAGAACGUCGGCUAUCAGAGCAAGCAUUGUGGAGCGGUUCCUUAUGCCAGGCUGCCAUGUGAGAUGAUCCAAGACCAAAACAAGGCCCUAGACUGCAGUAAAACCCAGAACUCAAGUAGGGCAGAAGGUGGAAGGCUCAUAUGGAUAGAAGGCCCAAAGUAUAAGACAGAUGGUUUGAGACUUGAGACCCGAGGACUAAGAUGGAAAGCCCAUGUUCCAAGAUAGAUAGAAGCCUCAGGCCUGAAACCAACAAAAGCCUCAAGAGCCAAGAAAACAGAGGGUGGCCUGAAUUGGACCGAAGGCCUGAGUUGGAUGGAAGUCUCAAGGCUUGAGUUAGAAGUCUUAAGACCUGGGACAGGACACAUGGAAGGCCUAAGAACUGAGACUUGUGACACAAGGCCAACGACCUAAGAUUAGCCCAGGGUUGUAGCUGGAAGACCUACAACCCAAGGAUGGAAGGCCCCUGUCACAAAGCCUACCUAGAUGGAUAGAGGACCCAAGCGAAAAAGGUAUCUCAAGACUAACGGCCGGAAUCUGGAGGCCCAUGACCCAGAACCCAGGAAGGAUAGAAGCUUGAAGACCUGGGGAAAUCCCAAGAUGAGAACCCUAAACCCUACCUCUUUUCUAUUGUUUACACUUCUUACUCUUAGAUAUUUCCAGUUCUCCUGUUUAUCUUUAAGCCUGAUUCUUUUGAGAUGUACUUUUUGAUGUUGCCGGUUACCUUUAGAUUGACAGUAUUAUGCCUGGGCCAGUCUUGAGCCAGCUUUAAAUCACAGCUUUUACCUAUUUGUUAGGCUAUAGUGUUUUGUAAACUUCUGUUUCUAUUCACAUCUUCUCCACUUGAGAGAGACACCAAAAUCCAGUCAGUAUCUAAUCUGGCUUUUGUUAACUUCCCUCAGGAGCAGACAUUCAUAUAGGUGAUACUGUAUUUCAGUCCUUUCUUUUGACCCCAGAAGCCCUAGACUGAGAAGAUAAAAUGGUCAGGUUGUUGGGGAAAAAAAAGUGCCAGGCUCUCUAGAGAAAAAUGUGAAGAGAUGCUCCAGGCCAAUGAGAAGAAUUAGACAAGAAAUACACAGAUGUGCCAGACUUCUGAGAAGCACCUGCCAGCAACAGCUUCCUUCUUUGAGCUUAGUCCAUCCCUCAUGAAAAAUGACUGACCACUGCUGGGCAGCAGGAGGGAUGAUGACCAACUAAUUCCCAAACCCCAGUCUCAUUGGUACCAGCCUUGGGGAACCACCUACACUUGAGCCACAAUUGGUUUUGAAGUGCAUUUACAAGUUUCUGGCAUCACUACCACUACUGAUUAAACAAGAAUAAGAGAACAUUUUAUCAUCAUCUGCUUUAUUCACAUAAAUGAAGUUGUGAUGAAUAAAUCUGCUUUUAUGCAGACACAAGGAAUUAAGUGGCUUCGUCAUUGUCCUUCUACCUCAAAGAUAAUUUAUUCCAAAAGCUAAGAUAAAUGGAAGACUCUUGAACUUGUGAACUGAUGUGAAAUGCAGAAUCUCUUUUGAGUCUUUGCUGUUUGGAAGAUUGAAAAAUAUUGUUCAGCAUGGGUGACCACCAGAAAGUAAUCUUAAGCCAUCUAGAUGUCACAAUUGAAACAAACUGGGGAGUUGGUUGCUAUUGUAAAAUAAAAUAUACUGUUUUGAAAACUUUGUAUUUUGAUGUGACAAUUUCUAACUCACUGUCCCUAA